GCAGGAGCGCUCGGAGUUGUGGGGUACGGACCCCAGGCGGGGCAGGGAGUCCGAGGCGGGCUGCGGCGGGGCUCUCGGGCUGGCGGACUCGGGGGCUGAGGCGCCGUGCGCGUUGGGUGCCCGCGGCCGCAGAGGCCAGAACCGCUACUCCUCCAGGCCGGGGAGACGCGGCCGUGGAGCGUGAAACGCUUCUUGCAAGCGAGGAAACGGUGAGUUGGCCGACACCGCCGGCGGCCUCACCAUUCUGGUGGCCGCGCUGAGCUCCUGUCGCCUGGAGGCGGGUUGCGCCGCACGGGGUCAGCUCCCGCCGGCUCCCAGCUCACCUUCGAAGCUCCCACUUAGGCGCGCCCGGUGCGGCGUGUGCACAGCGCGGGGCGCCGCACACGGAAGCGUGUAGUUCUCCCUGGUCGCGCUUUUCUCCUCCUUUCCAUCCCCUCGCUGUUCUUGCAAACCUCUGUUCCUUCGGCCCCCUCCCACUGCGGGCCGCGGCCUGAACUCGGGUCUCCGCGUAGCCGGCCGCCGCCGCUGGGUCGCUGCCUGGCCCUCCCCCGCUCAGGCGCCGAGCGCUGUGCGAUCCGCCCUAACAUCUGUCCGUCCAACCAUUGGCGCAUCCAUCAGUGUCAAUGGGCUGCACAUUGCAGCGACAGCCCGCCACGCACAACACGGGCUAUGCGGAGUGCACGCAGCAACCAUACUGCCAUGUCGGGACACGCAAAAAGGCCCCCGGCCUGGCUUGGCACAGCCUGAAGGCCUAAUCUGUGUUCUUUCAGCCACAUGUACCCACCCCCACUUAAUAUCUGGACCCCCAAACAUGAAUAGUUUUGCAGACCAUUGUAGGGAUGGAAUUGAAGGAAGAGGGGCAGUGUCGCCCGAGUCAUUAUUUUCCACCAGGUUUUCUCUGCCCUUGUGUGGGCUGGGUGUGGCUAGGAGAGAAGGAAGGGAGACUUCCCAAAUCCGCACCAAGCACACUGCAGAACCGGAAGCUACCUGGAUGCAAGGGCUUAAACCCCCUUCACCUGGGCCUAGGAUGUGUUGUCGAGGUCGCUGGCCAGGUUUUAGCCAGGAGGUCUCGCGCUAAAACUUUUUGGCCCCGCCUGGCUGCUGUGUGUGACAUGGCCUGAUGGAGAGGAGCUGGAGAGCGGAGGAAAACGUGGAUCCCAGUGAGAACUAAGGGCCAGAUUUAGGGAGAAAUAGUGUCUGGAUGGCAGUAAGUCUGUAAUUCACAUUUUGUUUACAAAGGGAGAAAGGGCAGGGCUGUAGGUUUGAGAAGCCAGAGGUUUGCGCGGAGUUCCGUGUGCCCAUUCCCCGAGAGUGCCGCUCUUGGCUGUAGUUGUUUGUUCUACCUGAUUUUGCCUCUUGCCUUCAACUCCCCCAUAACCCCUCCCCAAAUGUCCAGAGGGCAAACAUAUGCGCAUACCUCCCUGAUCAAUCCAGCCAGACCAAAGGGCCUUCCCUGUCCUCCCCCUAAGAACUUAAUGGGAAGAGUGUACGGGGGACCUACUCUUGGGACAUCUGCAGGGCGGCUGUACCAGGCGUUUUACCUGACUUUAUUCUUACCGCAAAGAUUUCCGUCUCGGUACCUGGUGCCCCCUCAGAGUCCACUACACAAACGGGUAAAAUCCCGCGCGGCUAUUCAUUUCGCCAUUCGCGAGUAAGAAGGGGAAAAGGAGCCGCUUCUAGGAGAGCACUGAGGUAUGCUCGGUUCGGUUCCCGAGGAGGCCAGAAGCGGCCGCGGCGGCGCGGGCUGGAGCUCCCUCCUGCAGGGAGACACCGCGCUCUAGGGUGCGGGCUUCGCCGCCCACAUCCAGUGGUCGAACUGUUUUCACGCUAGACUAGAGGGCGGAAAAGUCUGCGCCCGCGGAGAAACUAGAAUUCUGUAGAAUGUACACUGUGUAGAAAUCUUUUCACCCCACUCUUCAGAGUUGCAGAUUAUCUUUGAAAAACAACAGGCUCUGGCCCUGCCAGCCCUAGUAACUUCUACCCGCCUGAGUCACUCUGAAAAGUAAGCCCCUAGGCCAGUGAGAUGUCCCCACCUUUGGGAGGUGCCGCCUUUCCGGGAACAUUAAAAAAAAAACCCUAAAAAUAGAAGGAGGAAAAAUGAGCAAAGGCGGUGGGACGACUCACCGAAACACCGAGGUGCAAAUGUCCAUUGGAGAAACUGGCAGUCGCAUGGCAGCCAGCUGGCUCACCCAAUAGCUGGGUGGUAACCUUGUGAUCCCCAAACAUCCCCCAGGGCCAUGAAGGCAGUGCUGACCCCCACGAUUGCACCUCAGGCCCGGUGGAAUCCCGCUCCUCCUCCAUAGUGGUGCUAUGUAAUCAGUAGAAAAUCAGUAGAAAAGCUCCCAAAUGAAGCUGCUUCAGGUCAGGGGUUAGAAAUCUGCCUCAGACUUUUUGAACUCAAGGAAAUCGGGACAUCUGUCCCCAGAGCUACCUGUGCCCCACCCCAGGAUCAUUCAUGACCUUAGCUACCGGGAGCUCUGCCCGGAUAAGUUUUUAAAAGAGAGAGAGAAAGAAAAAAGUCACAUGCAGGCAAGGCUAGGAACAGGUGUGUGCUGUGGGGACGGGCACUUGGCUCGCAACACACCACACAAAGUCACGAAGUCUGUGCCAGAAAGGAGUAGCCAAACCACCGCCGGGAGGCAGCCGAGGUUGUGUUUAAGGUGGCGAUUGAGGGCAGUAGGUGACAACUCGACCCAAAGAAGGCCAAGUCUUGUCCUUAUCUGGGGUGGCCACUGAGGGAAAAGACUUAAGGGAAAGAAGUUGUCUUCAAAGCUACCAUUACAAGAUGAGGAGCUAGAGUGGGCUCAGGUCCCAGGCACCCAGGGCUUAAGCCUUGAUGUUGGAGAGGUUCUCGGAGGGAGGCUUGGGCCACCUGGAGGGACUGGGCACUCUGAGUAGUACCCUCUGGGAGGCUGUACCCCCUUUCAAAGUGUGAGGGCAUUUGCCCAAGGUGUAGGCUUUUAGGGAGCCCAGGGCUGGGCAGCACCAGGGGAGAGAGGCACCAGGUGGGUGCCCUCCUGCCUGCACUCACCUGGAAUGCUGGCAUAUGGGUUUUUCGCCUUCCUCACGCCUCCCCACACCACAUUCUGGGCUAGGCAGUGUCGAGGAGGUGCCUUGGGUUCAGGGAAGCUUGCCACCUGCACACCUGAACCAGGAAUUGGGCCCCGGAAUCUCAGCCCCUGCCCAAGCAGGAAGGAUAGGGACCCUGGCCCUCGCCAGGUGGUAAAUUGUUUGCUAAAAGUGCAUUUACACGGCGGCGAAGUUUGUUUCUCUUUUACCGGUAGCUUUGUUUUAACGAACCAGAUGUUUUGUCUGUAAAUUCUCCCAAGAACUUUUCCAGUUUUGACGUGAAAUAAACCUUCGAAAAUCAGAAGAGUAUAUUAAUACCACUUCUGUGGGGCCUCAGGAGAGCUGAGUCAGGUGUGCCUGGAUGGGAGCUGGGGGUGGGAGUACAAUCUUUGGAGAGAAGUAGGGGGCUUCUCUUGGCCCAAGGUCAAGAAUUGGUUUGGGGGAGGUGAAGUGCCUCCCCGACUCCCAAAACAGGCGCACACACACGCAUUGUCACACCAGAGUACGCACUCCCAGCCCUCCUCCAACCAGGCAUAGCUUGCUACUUCGUAAAUUUCUUGUGGCUUGGGGCACAGAGAUGUAGCUCAACUUUGCAGACUGUGUCCACUGCAUGCCGCUGCCGUUUUCCACGAGGACCGCCUGACUGAAAGGCAAAGGGGCCUUCGAUCUUCUUCCCGGGGCAGCUUUGAUGCCUGAGUGUGCGGGGCCGGGGCCGGGGCCAGGGCAGAGCAGGGUGGAAGCUGGUGCCCCUGUCUGGCCCACCCUUAACUCCUGGGCACCACUCGAUUCGGGAGAACUUGGGGUGGAAGCCGACCUGGUCUAGGAAGCCACAGCCUGCAGGUCCCCCUCUCCAAUGCCUCAUUUUUUCCGAUUUAGGAUUUCCAGGCAGUUAUAAACACCUUAAAAAAAAAGACCCACUUAACAAUACACCUAAAAGAGGGAGGGAAGGAAGGAAGGAGUACGGUUAUCACAGGCGUGUGGGGAGAGGGAAACCAGGUCUGCCUAGAAACCCACCUUCUGGUCCUGUGAGUCAUAGCGGCCACUUUCUCGGGUUUCCCAAGACAGGAGAUGGCGAUUUUCUGCUCCCUCCCCUCUCCCCAAGCUUUCCAGUGCUCUGAGUCUCACAUCUUCAGAUACCUCUUUCUUCCUUCAUUCUCUUUCGUUCAAUCAUCUACGGAACUUUCAAAAACUUUUUUUUUAGGAGAGCGAAGAUUAAAUAAAGAAAAUAAAACGUCUUUGUAUUUCAGUCUAAGGAGGACAGAUGCACAUUAAACUCAGUUUGGAGCGCUUAACUCCAGGCGAAAUGCCCUUUUAUCAAAUCCCACGCGUCGACUUGGGUUGCGCUGGGAAUUUCACGAAUUCCUCGCUGCAGCGUGGCGUGGUUUACCCCCACCCCCACCGCCACCCCACUUUGGGUGAAAUGGAUUUUUGGAAACCAUUUAAGCAGAGCUAAAAAUAAGGGUGGGGGGAUCCCUACACUAGAGAUAGCUGCAGCCACCUAGGGGCUCACCCCUGGUCGGGAGCGAGCAGCUAUUUGCUAGUUGUAGCUCAGGGGUGCCCAACUCUUCCCGUGUGGUUGCGCCAGCUGCCCCGCACUGCAGGUAUCUGAAUCAUUACGUGGGCAACCUGAUGCGGCUCUGAACCCCAGCUCUUUGAAUGCUGGAAUCCUGAAGGAGGAGGAUUCCACCAGGUCUUAGCCGACCAGAUAGCCCAGCUUUCUGAGGCUGGUGACCUCAUUAACUGGCCAGGGAAUUUGCAAGACCAGGAAUAAUCACGUUUCCCAGUUCUUCUUUCCUACAUUGCUUUUCUCCUCUGUCUUCAACGUUAGGGUUUUGUGUUUGUCCCUAAAUUUACAAUUUACAAACGGGGAAGACGGAGCCUAAGUUUCUGCAGGGCAGGUACAAAAGAGAGGGACAACACUCUGGGGGCCUCAUUCUUUCACGUUUUUGUUUCUUGAAAUUUGAUGGAUAUCACCUUAGUUCGGCAAUAGGAGGGCCAGGGUGACUGGGGACAUGGUGGCCCGAAGGGUUAGAUAAUAUAGCAUGCAGGUAGUCUCUGAUCUCCAGGGCUUUGAUAACACCAAGAUUUUCCUCCUUUGCAGAGCAGUCCUAAAUUCUGCCUUCUCCCUUUUCUGCCGCCUCUUCUCUUUUCCCCAUUUCUUUCUUCGUUUCUUUUUCUGUUUUCUUUUUGUGUGCCUCUCUUCCAACAGUCCCUCCUCCACCUUUAUAAGACUUCUCAAAGGUUAUUUAUUUAAGGUCUACCAAGUGCUAGCCCCAAACAGGUCCAGUCCUUCUACCUGUGGCAAGACGGAGGCUGUUACCGCGUGCAAAUAGUGAGGGAACAAAGUAGUUUGGAGUUUUUUGCAGCUUUUUUAGGUGAGGGGAAGGGAGGGAGGUCAGAAAUAGGUUGACACUUGGUUUGAAAUAAAAGAGCAUGUUAAGAAGUUUCGAAGCUGCCAAUAAAACCCUUUAAGUGGCUUGUGAUUCAGUGCCUGGAGUUGCGGGGAUGGCAUUGGUAAAUGACUCUAAUGCCCAAAGAAAAAUAUUACAAAUGCCGCUGUCUCGGCCACCAAUCGGGCGCCGCUUUCCUGCGCGGGCGAUGGCUCCUCUCUGGCGCGGAGGGCACCCACAUUUGCAUGAUAAAUUGACCAGACUGGCGGCAGCCAAUGAAAUAUUCAAAUUAGGCUGGGUGGCGGUAGUAGGGGUGGAGUCCCUGGGGCUGCCCCUUGGCGCGGCGGCGGGAGCGGGCGCUACCACCUCUCCGUCAGCGCCCUCUGGAGGCGGGACAGCGCGGGCGGCCGCUCUGGCCCAAAAGACGAGAUGGGGGGUUGGGGGUUUGGGAUGCAAGGGGGUUUGGGAGGGGUGAUGGUGGGGUCUGGGUGGUGCUUCGCGGCCCCAGGAGGCUUUCCGGCUGGCCUCGUUGACUAGGCGUACAGCAGCGUCUCCGCAUGCCUCUUGCCCUUAAAAGUGUUGAUGGAUUGCAGAAGUGGAUGGUGACCCCAAGGAGGGGUUUCAGAAAGGCUCCAGCCUCCUUCGCCCAACCACCUUCUCUAGGUUCCCCUAACAAACCCAUCACUUAAGUUAAAAACGUGUAUUUGCUCUUGUUGACUUAGCUUUAAGACAAGAUUCUUGCCCACCGCAGACCACAUGGCCAGCUUUCCCAAAGGCCCUCUGAUAAUGAAAUGGUGGAGCAGAUAUAUCAAACUUUCCAUCUUGCCCUGAGCCAACGACCCUGCACCCUCACAGGCCAGGGCACUCUGGAGGGCACCCUGCCUGGAGCCCCAAACCUUGGGUAAGCUGUGGGAGCCUAGGCAGGGGCAGGCAGUGCCUGGAGGCUGGCUUCAGACGGCAGAACUUCUCACCUGGGAAAAUGCUUUCUGGAAGAAGCACCCAGGCCUCAAGGCAGCUCCAGUGAGGGGGCAAAAAGGGAUAUACAUAAGGCAUAAGGCGCUGGCCAUGGUUAGGUAGGUGCUCAGCCAGGAAGAUAGGGCAGAUUCACAUGGGGGAGAUUGGCUCGGUGAUGAGACCACUUCUGACUCCACCAGAACCAGGCCCAGCUCUUCCUGGAGGUCCUGACUCAACGGGGACUUUUGCAUGGGAGCCAAAGAACAGUGGAUGUCUCUUGUCCGCUGAUCAUCUCUUCCCUUCCCCCACCCCAUAUUCCAUCCCAUGCCAGAUCCCUAGGCUGUGCCUGUUAGAGCUACUGUAGCACCACAUGGACUUGCCUUUAAAGCAGAAUUUUUAGAAGUGCAGUUGCUUUUCUUUACUCUGCUGUGGGAUGCUGAACACCUUGUUCUUUCUCCAGCUCAGCAGGGCUUGGAGUUGGUUCCUAGCUAUCUCUGGGAAUGCUCGAUCCCCAUCUCUGUUACCAGCCAAAAGGGUCUGCGGGAGGUGGUCGGCACUCCAGUCAGCAGCCCUCUCAGUACCUCUUCCCCAGACAUAGUCAAAGCAAGUCAUUCAUCUGCAGCCAGUCUCCCCUGCCCAUUCACCAAGGAGAACCUGGGGAUAGGACCACUCAGAGCCUGGCCCAGGCUGGCUCACUAACUGUGUGUAAAUACACACAGCGGAAAGAGUAGGUGCUGAACACACAUGUGUGAGAGAGUGAAUUUUUACUCUCAAUCACCUUAUAUAUAUUAUCAAUAGUUUCAAAGUAUGUUGCCCAAAGGAUGUUAAUUCCUAAGAAGGCUUUUAUAUCGUUUGGAGUUUUGAGGAGUGUGUUGGCUGAAGAGAAGAGGGUCUGGCCCCAGUCUUGAUGGGAAUGCAUGGGGUAAACAGCUGGUGGCAGAGGUACAAAAGGGGCCUCUCUACUUUCUAAGAGAAUCUUCCAUCCUGGCUGAUUUUAGGACCUGGGGUGGGGUUCCCAUCAGGAGGAGGCCUAAGGAAGGAGUAGGACCCUUCCUAGAUGGCUGAGUCAACUUAUACGACAGGGCAGGGAAACCUAUCUUGGAAACCCGGGAGCCCUCCUUCCUCCUCCCCAUCCUCAGGCCUCACCUGAGACUUGAAAAUGGACCAGAGUCUUCCUCCAACAGUGAAAUUCGUUAAAGAGUCACUCCUGUCUAGAAUGUGCAGAAAUGCAAGCCUCUCUCUUUCUCUCUCUCUCUCUUUCUCCACCUUGAGGAUGCUGUAUCUAGAGCCCAUAUAGGGACAAGAAGGUAAGCAGUGAAAGCAGGAAAGAAGUAGAAGGCUGGCUGUCAUCCAGCUGUGCAUACAGUCCUAUCUCAGCUGAACUGUGCACGGUGAAUGAGGAAGUAAAUGACAGGUGAAGGACCAAGAGAGUGAAGCUAGUCAGUUUAUCUGAGGAGAUAGGUAUCAGUGAGUAACUGUAAGGAUCACACCCACAGUGGGUGUGCCCCGCAGAUGGAUAUAUGUGCAGCAAGCGGUACCUUGCGGGGGAAUGCAAGCUCCAACUGUGGUGCUGAGCCUCUGGCCCAUAAGUAACCCAGUGAGCCUGAGCAGGUCACUCCCUCUCUUUGAACCUUGUCUCCAUCUCUAAAACAGGACAGCUUUCUCCAUCUUAAACACCAAGUAGGAAUUCAUUGUGGAAACCUUCCAUCAAAAUUGGAGAUGCCUUGGAUGGACCCUGUGGUGGCUCAUGCCUGUAAUCCCAGCACUUUGGGAGGCUGCGGCAGGCAGAUCACUUGAGUCCAGGAGUUUGAGACCAGCCUGGGUGACAUGACAAAACCCUCUCUCCACAAAAAAUACAAAAAUUAGCUGGGCAUGGUGGCAUGCACCUGUAAUCUCAGCUACUUGGGAGGCUGAGGCAGGAGGAUCGCUUGAGCCUGGGAGGUUGAGGCUGUAGUGAGCCGAGAUAGUGCCACUGCACUCCAGUCUGGGCAACAGAGUGAGACCCUGUCUCAAAAAAACAAAAAAUAGAGAAAUAGAGAUGCCCCUUGAACCCAUGGGUUUUUGGGACUACAUUCUGGAAGCUUUCAGAGUCAGACCAGAGUUUGAAAGAGGCAUUGUGUCACUAGCCGUGUGCCCGUGGGCAAGUCACAGUAGAGUCUACUUCCCACGGCACUUGUGAGACUCAUCUGGGAUUAUGUGUGUCCAUGCCUUGGCAGAGAGCUUGGUGAAGAAUGUUAGUUGUCCAAUAAAUGGUACCCCAUUAAGUUGGUGUGCAGGGUGGCCACAGGGCCAGACCACCCUGAAAAUAAAGGCUUAUAUUUGGGCUGAGCCUGGAUGCACCUGAGAUUACAAGCAGGUGCUUAGAAUGUGGUGAAAAAGAAAGACAGGAGAGAAUGGCUGAAGGCAGCAUGCAGUCCACCUGACUUUCUGGGAAGAUUGGGCAUUUGCAGGGCUGAUAAGUCAGGUUCUUCCGGGCCUUUCUGUGAGCUCAUUAGAGGAAGGGGUCUGGUGACUGAUAUUUCUAUUUUCCCUGUUAGUAGCGACUGGAAUUUGCACCAUCCAGGUCAGAUGGAAAAUAGAAGGCGGGAAAAUCUGACAGUCUCAUUGAUUUGCUCUCUUUGCCAUCACCACUCUUGAGAGGAAGAAAUGUGACUUCAAACUUGCAAUUAGGAACCAGCCUGCUAAGGAGUCCUCUCGUGAGCUCCUGUGCUAUGCGGAGCACAGGCCCAUCUCAUCUCAUUUCCUAAGGAGGUCAGCAGUUCUAGAAGAAUCUUUCUGGACAAAAGACCUGGAGUUGGCACUUUUGGCUGCCACUCAACAUUGAAUGGCCUCUAGCUGUGACCCAUCUUGGGACAAGAAAAUAAACUAAGGAGACGCAACACCUGCUGUUAGCUGAACCUGCUGACCAGGCUCCGUCUCCUCAAAGUUUUGGGGGAGCAGAGAAGAUGGUAUGAGCAGAACUUCUUUCUCUUGGAUCAGCUCCUAGGUUUGUUCUAGUGCCUGAAGAGAACAGGUUGCAGUAUCUCCAACUGCAAAGCAGGUGCGUGGAGCCACAUUCCUUCUGUUGAGCAAAGCCCUUCAGAGGGGCCCACGGGCAGGUGAGUCCUCCUCCCUUAACACAAUAUCACAGACAGUCCAGCCUCCAAGCCUCAAAGGGCAGAGCAAAAGGGCCAAAGAGGAGAUGGCAGGCACAGCCUGGACUGUCUGAGAUUUCAGAUCCGCAGAGGAAAAGUUGGCAAGCGUCGGGACCAACAUUCUUCUACCAUUAACACUCACCUAGGAAUAAUAUCUAUAUUUUGGGCUGGCACUUCAGGUUUACUGUCUCGUAUAAUCUCAACAACCUGGGAGGUAGAUGCAUUCAUAUUCUUAUUUUGCAGAUGAGGCAAUUGAUCCUCCGACAGGUUGAGGAGCACCUGCAAGGUCUCAGACAGGUGGUAAGUAUCAGAAAGAGAGGGUUUAAAUGCAGAUUCGGUCUGAUUCUGCAGGAGAUCUCAUACCUGAACAGGUGAGUCAUCGUCACGUUUCAGGAGCAACCACCAGGGCAUGCUGAACUUCCUAAGGCAGUAGGGUGACCAGCUGCCUUGGUUUGCCGGAGACUGGGGGUUUCCCAGGACACAAGACUUGCAAUGCUAAAACUGGGAAAGUUCUGGACAGACUGGGACAAGCUGGUUCCCUUAUCUGGAAGUGAGAAUAAAACAUAAGCUACUAAGAGUGCUGUGACUUUAAACUGUAAAAUCAAAAUAAGUAGCAAACCAGUGGUUUGUGGGUAGGAUGUGAGUCUCUGGCGAGUUUCUUUUUAACUGCAUGGAGUUCCUAAGGCAUUUUACACAGAUUGCAUUUGAAAUGCCAGAGUUGUUGCAUAGAAAGUUGGACCUCGGGCUUUCAAAAAAUAGAAAGAGCAGGUCUUGGAAGGCUACAGUCCCAGCAAGGGUGAUGGCUCCUUUCGUAAUUCUCAGUUCCUGCUGGCCAACCUUAUUCAUUAGACCAUGGGCUUGGCUCUUGGAGACAGUCAAUGUUUUCCGUAGAGAAUAUUACCCCGCAGUGGCCAGGAAGCAAAUGCCAAUAGAUCUCCAAAAUAUUUGAUCAUACCAAUGGAUUGCCUAGAAUAUCCUGUGGUCUUUCUGUUGCCUUUGAGAGAACGUCAUGGAAUACCAGGUGGGGGUGGGGCAGGUGAGCUCAGGGUAGCAAGGAUUCUGACAUAGCAAAGGGAAAUUCUGUAUGGGACAGACUCAAAGGUCCCAGAUGCCCUCUCAAAUGAAGAUGGCAAUAUUCCAAAUAUUCAUUGAUCCAUAAGCAUCUCACGGCAGGUAUAAGAUCUGGGAGAACUCAUCUUAUUCCAUCCCCAGGAAACAAACAUCCCUUCUUGGGCAAUGUCUCCAGGCCACGCUUCUCAUCCGCAGAGCAGGUGCCUGUUCUCCCCGGGCCAUCUGACAGGGGAGAUAGAAAAUCUGCAAGAGAAAGCUCACAGCACGGGGCUGAGCCCUGGAGGGGAAGCACAGAGGCCUGUAUUCUAAUUCACUGAUGAUCAAUUUGCAAGUUCUUUUUCUCUUAGUUCCCUUAGUUUCCUUCCAGGUAAUGCAGAAUUCCUUGAAGCUUCUCUAGGUUGUUUUACUUUGCAAUCUUUGGUCAGAAGGUCUUUCUCAUGUUAACAGGUGAGUUAAGGUAAGAGCCCCAGACUCCUGGGCUUCCCCCAGCCCACUCCAUGAUCCCAAAAGAGAUUCCACUGGGGGAUACAGUUUGAAUCACCUGAACUAGACAAUUAUUACAGCUUCUCUUCCAGGUUGAAUAUUUCAGGGUCCCUUGCCAAACAGGGGAAGAUCUUGUUAAACCAAAAUCCCAAAUAGAUUUCAAAUAUGCUGGAAGUUUACAUGACCCUAAAGACUGCUCUCCAUGAGAGACUCAGGGGCUGGGGUAGUACCUUCUAAAUUUCCAUGGGAAAAUGAACAUGCUCCAGCAAGAGCUUGGGAAAAGAAGAUAGUCCCUAAGUUUUAUUGUUUGAAAUUUGUCACUCAAGGAUGUGAACGUGUCGCUGACAAUUAUGUAGCAUCUCAGAGCUCAGAAAGCACUUUUGCAUCGAUUAUUUCAUUUCUUGUUCGUGCCAAUUGUGUGAGGUGGACAACGUUAUGUUCAUAUGAGAAAUGCAGCCCAGAGAGGCUCAAACCCAGCACUUUUAACUCCCAAUCUCCCUCUUUUCUCAGUACCAUGUGGUAAGUCUUUAUUAACCAGAGUGUCCAAUUAACCAGAACAUGCCUGUGUCUUAGGGAUCAUCCCAGACUGAUUUUCUUUGCAGAAAACCCCAGGGAGCCACAGCCUUUCCUGCACCUCCUUUUGUUAGCUGUAUGUUUUUUUAGCGGCCCAGUGAGGCCUGCAUUUCAGAGCCUGUGUUGCAAAGCUCAUUGCUGUGGAGGAGACGGUUAUGGGCUGGGGCCUGGGUCUUCCGCCCCUUCCUGGCAGACCAGGAGCUUCAGUUGCUCUCUGUGAAGUUCUUCUUUGCAGGAGCCUGACACAGACGACAGCCCCAGGUAAUCCCUAUUCUUCAAGACCAAGCCAGGGAAAAUCUUCCAGAUGUUCUUGCUACUCACCCCGACCUUGCGGUCUUACCCUUCUGGCUGAACAAGAGACAAACAGCUCCUCUCCACUUGGCUGUGUGCGGCUUAACGAAUGCGUAUGAAGACCGUAUAAAUAAUUCACAUCACUCAAGAGGUGGCGAGCUGAACAAGUCCCUUCUGGUUACAUUUAUUUCAAGAUAAGGUGAAACUAAUGCCCCCUAAAUAUUUCCACUGAAGACUUUUAGAACUUUGGAAUAAGGAAAUUGUAUCUCCAGCUGACAAUAAAAUUUACGAAGCAAAGAAUGCCUCCGUUAAUACUUUCCAAACGUCUUUGUUUUUGAACGAGCAAGAUGCUGAGAACCUUCCAAUUCAGUAACCCUGCCUCUGACAGGCAGCAGAACAGUUAGCAAGGUUGACAGAUAGAUGCAGCCACACGAUGCAAUAAUCCUUGCUGCACUGAACUUUGUAUUUAAACACUUAUUUUAUGUUUAAUUAAUUUCUCCAAAGAGGAAAACUUCCAGGCUGCCUUUGAAGCCGGCUGUUUGUUUAAGAUAUUUUGUUUUAAGAAUAAGAGAAAAAAAGGAAGGAAGGAAACGGAGGGAAAAUGUUUAUGUUUUUCCUGUUGUUUUUUCAAAUAUGAUGUGACAUUGUGAAAAGGCCUCCUGAAAGUGCAAUUUUUUGUUUGUGAUGGAAGAGAGAUGCACCUAUGAGUCUUACAUCAUCAAAGAAACAGACGCUUAUCUAUAAUUUAUGCUUUGCUUUAAGCUUCUGCUGAUCUGAUGUGGCUUUUUUAAGACAACACAGGCAGCCCUGGCAUCACUUGUCAAUCAUCGGGGCAUGCUCAAAUCGUAGACCAUUAGCAGGAGGGACGGCAGAGUUUCUUUAAUGACGCUUUUAUACGGGGCAUCCUGGCAGUGAAACAGAGAGGGUUUGAUUUGAUCAAUGCAUUAGCCUAAUCACAGCGUUCCUGCUCUUAAUUUCUUUUGUCGGCAAUUUCCAUACAUGGGUUGCGUUCAGGGUUCUGGCAAAAACCCGUUCAGAACUCCGUGUGACAUGUGCAGUCACCUUGCCCGGAUUUCUCUCGGUGGGAAGCGACGUCUGCAAGAGAGGGGACGGCGGCUGGGCUGGAUGGCUGCCUUUGAGUCCGUCCUGCGGUGAGGCUGGGGAAGGCCCAUUCCACGCGAGCCUUGGCUUCAGCCCUGAGGUGCCUGCCAGCCCCCGUGGCAGACCCCGGCCCUGCCAAUUUCAGCCCCCUUGGUGAUUCUGUUCCAGCGCUCGCCAAAAGCAGAAUCCGUGUAUAAUGAACAAGUUUCAUGUUCAACAUUUUAAGUGUCUAUUUAUGAGUCCCAGUAAUUAGCCCUUUGUCUGCAAUUCUGGCGAUGAUGAUUAGAAUUCCAUCUCACGUUAUGAAUGCUGCUCCCCAAACUUGUCCUUCUCGCCUGGAGAAUCCCAAGCAGGUGGGCACCUGAAAGGCAAAGAAAGGGGGCGAUUUGGGGAGUGGCCGGUCUCUUCUUUUACCAGCCCUCCAGCAGCCUCCUUCCUUUGAUCCCAUUCUUCCCUGGCUGUAUGUAAUUUCAGACUUCUCAGAAUCCAUUUUCCUGGCUUUUGUUCUGAAACUUGUUUUCUUCUCAUCCUCCACUGUCAUCCCCAAAGGGUGCAUUUUUUUAUAUCAUGCCCUACACAUGAUAUUUGUACCUUUUGCAAAAUCUUGUCAGGAUGCUAUGAGGUUUGAGAGUCUUUCCAAACGAAUCAUUCUCAGAAUCAAAAUAUUAUGAAGGAGGCCAAAUUAUCUCUAAUUAUAACCUCCAGAAAAGUGGAGAACUUUUUCAACAAACAGAACAGGGGUAAGCAUCUUACAGAAAUAUUUGCAAGAAAAGUAAUAUUCUUUUUUUUUAAAGCUAUCAAAUCAUGUAAGCAUACAAAUAAAUGUAUUUUAAUAAGGGUAAAAUUACUAGUUAAUGAGUUUGCUUUGGGGUUUUGUAUCUUCG
rnacentral:lncRNA from 1 species